rnacentral:rRNA from 1 species
UUGUCAGCCGGGCCGCUCAGGCGGUUCCCUGCGGCGCCGCCCCCGAAAUGAAUUGGCGGCCCCGUCGCGGCCUCCUCUGCGUAGUAGCACAACCUCGCAACAGGAGCGCGGCGCGGCCACUGCCGUAAAACGCACAAACUUCUCCAAGAGUUGACCUCGAAUCAGGUAGGAAU